rnacentral:tRNA from 1 species
GCCUGGGUGGCUCAGUCGGUUAAGUGUCUGACUUCAGCUCAGAUCAUGAUCUCACGGUUUGUGAGUUCAAGCCCCACAUUGGGCU